rnacentral:lncRNA from 1 species
UAUGGCAAUAUGCACAGAAAAACAUGCUGGUUUUUCCUUUUUUUUUUUCCCACUUGGAUAGCAGAGUUCAGGGUUUUGUUUUUCCUAUUUCCUUUGACUAGCAUGGAGAUAUCUUGAGAGCCAUUUCAUGCAAAUGGAUCCAAUCUGGCCUUUGUUGCUGAGAGAUUUCACAUUUGAAGUUUGUAGUGCUUUGGCCAAUCACCUGUGCCUGUUAAAUUGUCCUUCAACUUCUAGGUUUGCAUUAUUCAAUUAAAGGAGAUCAUCCUCGAGAGUCUUUGCACUUCGAGUUGCCAAAAAGGCAGAGUGGGGAAUAUAAGAUUGCUCUUUUAUUUGCUAUGAGAUAUCCUGGGUAAAGGUUUUUCAAAUUCUGAAACAAGAUAAUUGCAUUAUGAAUGGGCAAGUCCAUAGUUUUCAAUGUUUCUCAGUCUCCAGUGAGUUGCACCAUGGUUCAUGAAAAAAAAGGAUGACAAUGGGAGUGGGAAUCCUCCAUUUGUUCAAAUUCAAAGGUCAUACAACAUCUUUUCUCUGUUUAAGUUGUAUGCAGCCUUUCCCUGGGAUCAAAUGAUAUUUCUUUUUUUAUGUUCUUCACGUUGUUUUUGAUUCACUGGAAGGCAGAUUUUAAGCAUUGACAGUUUUUUAAACUAUUUACACUGGAGCGUAGGACCCAAGAAGUGAAAAUUUAGAUUAAUUCUUUAAAUGAACCCCUAGAACUUUGAAAAUUGAAUUAUUCUCAUUUGAAAACUUAUUUUUCAUGUGAUCAUCAGAAGGCUAGUUUUGCUUUUGGAGCGAUUGUUUUGCAUAGUAAAACACUCAAAACUUCUUUCUAGGGAAUAUAUUCAACUCAAAGUAGACUCAAACAAGCCUUUUAUGUGUUCUUCUAUUGCAGUAUAUUGAUCAUUACUUCUAGCACAAGGAUAGAGUUGUAAUCUUACCAUAUUAGUUAAAAUCGUAUUGUCUUUGCCUAUUGUAUUUUACUCCUUGUGAAUAUAGACAUGAUGACUCUAGUAAUUGUAAAUUAUGUAAAGUCAUUCUUUUUUGUCAAGAUUAUGUUUGUUCCCGUGUUAUUAGAAAUGCUUUGUGCUUCAUUUCAUCAGAAGGCACUUAAAAAUAAUUACAUCAAAUGUUCUUCAUCUUUUUCAUUCUUUCUACAAUUUUUUCUUCAAUUUAACACUUGACCAGGAUAAUUCUGCUCAAAUGGAGAAGUAAGUUCAAGUAGUGGGAUAGAAGGAAAGGAGGUAUACAAACAGUGAUUUGGAUUAAAGUGGCAGAAGUAUUUUCUGUAGCAACAAUUAAUAAAAGAUUUUGCCACUACAGAACUUAGUAGGAAUGCAGUUUCUAGCCUCAACUAAUUCGGGAUUGAGGUUAAGUUUUGUAGAGUUAUGUCAUGAAUGUGAUGAUGUCAUGAUUCAACUUGAUUACAUCUUUAGCCAAAUUUGCAUUAUUAGAUGUACUUCUUCAUUACCACUCCAUUGGUAUUAAAAAGUAUAAAUGGAAGAUAAUUUUAUCCUACCAGAUCCAUAUCUUUCUGCAUGUUUUAAACUAUCUCUAUAUAUUGUCUAUUGAGGCGGCAAUUUGCUACGAUGUGGAUUUGCCAACCUAAAGCUGUGACCUGGUCACAACAAGAGUGUUUGGGUUGUGAGAAACAGAGGGAAAGUAAGGCUAAAAGGGUAUGAAAAAGAGAAAGAGAUGAGAAGAGAAGAGAGGGAAGAGAGAACAGAGAGAUAGAGAGAGAUAAUGACUCAGAUGAUUAAGUUUAAGCCCAUGUUCUUUUUGCCUUGUUCCUUGUGAUAUGGAUUUCACAUUGUACUAACUUUUAACUUAGUUCUGCCUGCUUAAUGUGAUGUAUUUAUAACUAGUUAACUGUUGAUAUUGUCUUAUGCGUGACCUGACGUGGUGUAAGCUAUGCUAUGUGUCACGGUUUCAGAUUUCAGCAAUCGCCUGGAACCGUGCGGCACUUGAUUCGAAUACCUUCAAGCCAAGUCAGCCUUAAGAAUCACCCGAUACCCUGUGAACAUGAGUACCCUGAUUAGUCAAGGUUAUAUAAGCGAAUAGCGAAGCCAACAGGCAGCAUUCCAUUAGAAGCCUCACAGUAGGCACAAAAGAUAAGAACAGAACAUGGGAAUUCAUGAACAGGCUACUUAUUUUAUUACAGGGGCAAAAUAGUAAUUAUACAUUAUCAUCGAUGCAAUCGUUACAAUAAUUCUCACCUCCCUUGUAGACAGGGGGACGGUCUACAAGGAGUGAAGGCACAACUUGGAUCUCCGUAGGCCUAUGGUAGCCAACUGGGCCCAGCCCCAGCUGGUGGCCAACUAGUUACUCCCCCCUAAAGAGCCUUAGGAACAACUUGGCUUGUGACAGGAGGAGACAUCAACAUAUCUCAUAUGACACCCCCCUAAAAUAAAUACAUGAAAAGGAAUUACAACAAAUUGUCUCGGCCAUUAUCUUCCUACUAAUUUCUACUAUUUUAUCCCAAUAUUGCUUUCUAGGAAUUUCAAUGUUGGAAAAUUACAGUUUUGGUCCCUGAAAACUCUAUGACCCUGACACUCCCCCACUUAAACAGUCGACGUCGUCGUUGACUGAGUUUGUUGGGGUUCUUCAAUCUUUGAGUCCGACAUUCUUAGGCUUGCAGUGUGAUUUGAUCCCAGUCCUGCUCAAUUAAAUUGUUGGACAGCCUUAAUCCUUAGUAUCUCCUCCCAAUUGAUCUCUGUGGACUGCUAAUUCUUAAUGAUGAUGAGACUACAAAAGCUCUAUCUUCUGGUGGUAAAUGUUCUGCCCUUGAUUCCUUAGACUACUGCAAAUGGUGCUAGAAAUUAUUGCUUUCCUCCUCUGCACGAACUUAUUGCCUGAAGUCAUUGAUCACUGGUACUUUUCUCCUUAACUUGUCUCGCCAUUACUUGUCUUUAAUUGUCGACCUUACUCUUUGCCUCAAAGCACGACCCCAUGGUGCAACAAAUCUAUCAACCUGCAUACACUCAUGCCAUAUGACAUCAUGAUUAACCUGUAAUAAUCUCAUAAGAAAGGAUAGUACUAACCACGUUAGAAUCAAAUACAAACUAAUAUAGCAAGUCAUCUAGAACACAAUCCAUUAUAAAUUAAUAGGUGUGACCACAGCACUUGUCCACUAAAAUUGGAACUGUCUUUACCCAUCCGCUUGACAUAACACAACGUUAUUCCACCUGUAGCGAAGCUCGGCGAAUCCUCCUAAGGAACUGGUGUCCCUAUUGUCAAAAGAGUUCGCUCAACACUCUCUUUCUCCUUUUGUACGCCUUAUGUUCCUCCCUUCAUAAGCUCUGGUAUUAUGUACACUUUAUCUCUUUUUCCUCUCCCUAAGAAUGUAGUCUACGCAAAUGCCUACAAAACGUCUCCCAUUACACACACAAAAUAUCCACGACCACUGAAAAGGGGCAUUUUCUUGUUGAACCCUAUGAGCCACAGAAAUCUACUCAAAACAACUAUUAAGAUUGACUAUACAUGAACCAAUUAAUACCAUCAUCAUGACUUGACACCAAGAAAUUACUAGAAGAUACUCCCUUUCUUAUACUGCUUUCAUCAUAGCUCACAACAUCGAUUCGCCUCACCAACUUGCCUCAAGCAACCUGCGCUUCUCGACCCAUCUCGGUCCUUCCCCACGUUGAUGCACUUAUGAGAACUUUUAUUUGGCCAUGAGGUCUCUUUCCUGCCCGACAACAAAGGUAGGACUACAUUUGUCCUUUUUAAUUACACAUUAUUAUCCAAUCCCUUUUAAGGCAGCUACAUCCUAUAUGUUCACAAUAUUUGUUAGCACAAACUUGUCAAGUUCCACAUCGAGGAACCUGACUCAAUAAUCCACAAAAUAUUUCAGAAUAAAUGAAUAACUAUAUAAAGUAAGGUAAGGAAUGAUAUCAGGAAACACAAAAACAUUAUACUCAUCUGAUAUGAGAGGGUUCCCUCUCGUUAAAUUCCUUUCUCUCGUACUGAAUGAUCAUUAAGGAUCUCCAUCUCUCAUCAUUACCUUGAGCACCACACUCCUUUGACCAGUUCAAUAGUCCUCACUUCUGUCAGUUUUCGCUUAUCCUCCUUCCUUUUGUCGUAGGAUGAGUGAAUUAUUUGCUUCCACAACGUUGUUGCUCCCAACGGUAUUUGAUGCCACUCUUGCCCAAUGUUACCAUACAUUCCUAUGGGUUGUCCUAUCAAAAUGUUUACUUACCUCUAAGAGAAUGAAUAUGUGCUCAACAAUCAUAGUUGGUUGGCACUUCUCAGACAUUAUCCCAUACUCUGGUACUUGUUGUUUUCAUUUCAUCCCCUCUGGACUCCCAUCUAUUCCUCUUUUCCGACUCAUUUUCAUCCUCGCAAAACUUAGUCUUGGUUUCUUUUUUCUUUUAUUUUUUUUUUACUUACGCACGGCUAGACAAUACUUCAUCGAAUGCUACUUUUCGUUGAGUUUACCCUUGCACCACUUCAUGCUUGGAUAGCCACUAGUUUCCUCUUCACUACUCUCGAUUACCUCUCCUUUAUCAAGGAAUAAUUGUUGGUAAAAAAUAGAGAUAAUUUGUGUCAUUCUGGGAGACGCCACAUCAAUUAACGUCCCAGGUUCACUAAAAAGAAAUUGUGAAGUCCAUCUUGCUUUUUGAUGUCCUCAAUUAAGCGAGUUUAUCAAAGGACAUGCUCAACUUAAUCCCCGCACUCAAGUUGUCUGCUUAGUCUUUAUUUCCUCAUAUCAUCCACUUCAGUUUUAUUUGUGAUUCUCACAAUUGUGUAAACAGUGUACAAAUCUUGUAUUUGUGCCCGCUUUGUAGCAUCAACUCCGCUAUACUUGACACUGGGCAACAAUAUGUUGUUUUAUACUAGCUUCGAUUCUCAUUUCUUCUCUUAGAGUCCUCAAGAAGACUUUGAAGAUCUUCUCCUCCAUCCCAUGUCCCUUAUUUAACUCAACACUCACAGAAUAUUUCCAUCAUGCUUGAUCCCUUCACGCGAACAAUACUACCUUAGGCGGGGAGGAACAAGAAAGUACAAACAACCUAGAGUUGACAACUCUAUGAUUUAUACCUAAUGUUUCCUCCCCCUUUACUCACCAUGUCCCUCAAGACCUUCGACACAUUUCCACACCAGCAACUUGUAAAAUCAUAUGGCUUUCUUCAUAGAGAACACUUCAUACUGCUUAGUUAUGCCACUUCCAUGUGCUCUUGUUUACCACCUUUCAGACCGCUCCCCCACUUAUUGCUUUGGCCCAUCUUCUUAGGCGGCUAUCAAUCAGAUAUCAGAGUUGAAUAUUCCUUCAAUUCCUUGGUAAUAGAACCAACUCAAUAUUGGUUGCCCUUUACUCUACACCAUAAUCCUCCAGGUUCUGACCUUCUUCAGGAAGGUUUCAAGCUCAGUCAUAUCUCUUGAAUUGUUGUCACAAUCCGCUUACUCUAUUAAAAAUCAAGUGCCACGUCCUCUUGUGUCAUCCAUAGAUGCUGAAAAGUUCCUUUAUGUACUUUCCUUAUGAACACCUUGUUGGAGUUUACCAACUCUCUUGAAUAACAAAUGUUACAUUCUUAUAGUAAAACUGGAGCUUAUCAUUUCAUAUCCCCCUUUUCUCAUGUAUAGAGUGAACACUCUCUAUUCAUGGGACUUUACCCUUUCAUUUUUAGAAUAGAUUUAGCUUUAUAGCUUGAUCCCAUAAACGUUGUUCUUUAUAUGUCUGCACAGUCACCAAUCCCAAUAAUAUUAAUGCAUAAGUUCAUAUUGAAGAGAAAAUUAUUUACCUCCAUUCCACAACAAGGAUUGAAGUUUUGGGAUUCCACCCGUGCCUACUUCAUAGGCAUUAGCUCGUGAUUCACGCCAUUGAUAAUUGUUCCUCUGGUUCACUUCUGAAGUAUUGCUCAUAGUCUUUCCUAUGUCAUAUUUAAUAUUAUUGCACCAUUCCUGCAAGUAAAACAAAAUACAUGAGAGGCUUUUGCCUCAAUUCUGUCUCGGGAGGCCUCUUGCCUCAAUUCUAUCUCCGGAGUCCUCUUGCCUCAAUUAUGUCUCAGGAGGCCUCUUGCCUCAAUUCUGUCUCAUGAGGCCUCUUGCCUCAAUUUUGAGUGGAAUGGUCUCGGGAUUCUCGGAUGGCCUCAAGCUCUAUUGGCUCAUCCUCCCCCUUAUCACUAUACCCUGAGGUCAUUACUCUCUCUCCAAGGGCCACUAAAAGGAAGUAUGUAGCACCUAGUCAUUACCCUCUCUCCAGAAGACAUUUCCAAUGGAGUGUGCAGUACUAGGUCAUUACCUCUCUCCCGAUGGUGUCCCUAGUGGAGCGUGCAACACCUCUAAUUAAUAUGGCCAGUCUAGCCCGAAAGCUCAUGCUUUUGUCUUCUUCACCUCAUAAUGUGCUACUACUCCUCGUAGCUUCAUAAUUGGAGGUCACUGCCUCCCCCUUUCACCACUUUAGGCUCAAGAUCACCCCACCGGGUGUCAUUCGCAUGAAGGAGAUUUUGGAAGGCCUCAAUCUCCCGCCAAUUUGGCUAUCAUAGCCAACAACCUUCAUUUUUAUUAUAUAUAUAUAUAUUUUUUUUUUCACUCUAGUGCCUCAAGGCACUUCUAACCAGAAUCAUCUCCAAUGCGUUUCCCUCUUAGGUGGCAUAGACAACCAACCAGGCAGCGCGAUUCUCACCCUUCUCUCAAGGGCCUUUGUGCAGGUGCUAAACUUCGUCAUUCUUGCUCGCAGAUCUUUCUUGCUCUGAUACCAAUUGUCACGGUUUCAGAUUUCAGCAAUCGCCUGGAACCGUGCGGCACUUGACUCGAACACCUUCAAGCCAAGUCAGCCUUAAGAAUCACCCGAUACCCUGUGAACAUGAGUACCCUGAUUAGUCAAGGUUAUAUAAGCGAAUAGCGAAGCCAACAGGCAGCAUUCCAUUAGAAGCCUCACAGUAGGCACAAAAGAUAAGAACUGAACAUGGGAAUUCAUGAACAGGCCACUUAUUUUAUUACAGGGGCAAAAUAGUAAUUAUACAUUAUCAUCGAUGCAAUCGUUACAAUAAUUCUCACCUCCCUUGUAGACAGGGAGACGGUCUACAAGGAGUGAAGGCACAACUUGGAUCUCCGUAGGCCUACGGUAGCCAACUGGGCCCAGCCCCAGCUGGUGGCCAACUAGUCACUCUUCCCUAAAGAGCCUUAGGAACAACUUGGCUUGUGACAGGAGGAGACAUCAACAUGUCUCAUAUGACACCCCCCUAAAAAAAAUACAUGAAAAGGAAUUACAACAAAUUGUCUCGGC